AAUAAGGAGGUUGAGGAAAGAACUUGUACCCAGAGCUCAGCCCAUGCCUUAUUUUGACAGGCCGUUCAUCCCCAAAAGGUCUGCAAAGCCGAGGACGGUCCCAAAGGAGCCAAAGUUUCAUGUCAAACCCGCCGAAGAAUCAUGUUACAAAGCAACAAAUCAGUGUUUGUUUGGUAGGAAGAUUUGCGAGCAUUCAAUGAUCAAAGAAAAUGAGGCCAUGUGAGCUGCUUUUCAUGGAGCUGCUGAUCAUGCUAAUUCUUAAAUGUUUCCACCAUUUUUUACAUAAUUGACCUGCAUGAAAAUAAUUUCUUGCAUUGUAAUUUUUGAAUUUAGAAUGGUUGGGUGAUAUGAGAGAAUAUGU